rnacentral:rRNA from 1 species
CCUACGGGUGGCAGCAGUGAGGAAUAUUGGUCAAUGGCGUAAGCCUGAACCAGCCAAGUCGCGUGAGGGAUGAAGGUUCUAUGGAUCGUAAACCUCUUUUAUAAGGGAAUAAAGUGCGGGACGUGUCCCGUUUUGUAUGUACCUUAUGAAUAAGGAUCGGCUAACUCCGUGCCAGCAGCCGCGGUAAUACGGAUGAUCCGAGCGUUAUCCGGAUUUAUUGGGGUUAAAGGGUGCGUAGGCGGCCGUUUAAGUCAGAGGUGAAAGGCUGUGGCUCAACCAUCGAAUUGCCGUUGAAACUGGGAGGCUUGAGUAUGUUUGAGGCAGGCGGAAUGAGUGGUGUAGCGGUGAAAUGCUUAGAUAUCACGCAGAACCCCGAUUGCGAAGGCAGCCUGCCAAGCCAUGACUGACGCUGAUGCACGAAAGCGUGGGGAUCAAACAGGAUUAGAUACCCGGGUAGUC